UCAAGAAACUUCCACAAUGGGCGAAAGCCUGAUGGAGCGACGUCGCGUGAUGGACGAAGUGCUUCGGCACGUAAACAUCUUUUAUGUGGGAUGAAAUUAUUGACAGUACCACAUGAAUAAGGGGCUCCUAACUCUGUGCCAGCAGGAGCGGUAAUACAGAGGCCCCAAGCGUUAUCCGGAAUCACUGGGCGUAAAGGGUGUCGAGGCGGUUGUAUUAGUCGUUCGUAAAAUCUACGAGCUUAACUUGUAGGCGGCGAACGAAACGGUACGACUUGAGGUUUGGAGAGGUGCGUGGAACUCACGGUGUAGGGGUGAAAUCCGUUGAUAUCGUGGGGAACACCAAGGCGAAGGCAGCGCACUGGCCAAAAUCUGACGCUCACACACGAAAGCUAGGGUAGCGAAGAGGAUUAGAUACCCCCGUAGUCCCUGAGCGGGCUGGCAAGGCGCAU
rnacentral:rRNA from 1 species